ACGAACGCUGGCGGCAUGCCUAACACAUGCAAGUCGAACGCUCCCUUCGGGGAUAGUGGCGCACGGGUGCGUAACGCGUGGGAACCUGCCCUUAGGUUCGGAAUAACUCAGAGAAAUUUGAGCUAAUACCGGAUAAUGUCUUCGGACCAAAGAUUUAUCGCCUUUGGAUGGGCCCGCGUUGGAUUAGCUAGUUGGUGGGGUAAAGGCCUACCAAGGCGACGAUCCAUAGCUGGUCUGAGAGGAUGAUCAGCCACACUGGGACUGAGACACGGCCCAGACUCCUACGGGAGGCAGCAGUGGGGAAUAUUGGACAAUGGGCGAAAGCCUGAUCCAGCAAUGCCGCGUGAGUGAUGAAGGCCUUAGGGUUGUAAAGCUCUUUUACCCGGGAUGAUAAUGACAGUACCGGGAGAAUAAGCCCCGGCUAACUCCGUG
rnacentral:rRNA from 1 species